CCUACGGGCGGCAGCAGUGGGGAAUAUUGGGCAAUGGGCACAAGCCUGACCCAGCAACGCCGCGUGAAGGAAGAAGGCUUUCGGGUUGUAAACUUCUUUUAAGGGGGAAGAGCAGAAGACGGUACCCCUUGAAUAAGCCACGGCUAACUACGUGCCAGCAGCCGCGGUAAUACGUAGGUGGCAAGCGUUGUCCCGAUUUACUGGGUGUAAAGGGCGUGCAGCCGGAGAGACAAGUCAGAUGUGAAAUCCGCGGGCUCAACCCGUGAACUGCAUUUGAAACUGUUUCCCUUGAGUUUCGGAGAGGUAAUCGGAAUUCGUUGUGUAGCGGUGAAAUGCGUAGAUAUAAGGAAGAACCCCGGUGGCGAAGGCAGAUUACUGGACGGUAACUGACGGUGAGGCGCGAAAGCGUGGGGAUCAAACAGGAUUAGAUACCCUGGUAGUC
rnacentral:rRNA from 1 species